rnacentral:lncRNA from 1 species
UCCAAGGGUGGACAUUGAGUGGCCAAGGUUAUAAAUAGAAGGGUAAUCCCCUCAUUUUCACUCACCACACUACAAGCAAACUCAAGAGCUUUCACUCCACACUUGCCCACACGUUUUUGCCUCCAAGCUUCCAAGCUUUCAAGUGCUCAAGUGUCCUAGCUUUCCAAAGCUUCAAAAGCUCUCCAACUUCUUCUUCUAAUCUUCUUGUUCAUUUUUACAAGUAAGAAGUGUUGUUUGCUUUAAUAUUCCACUCCUCUAAUCACCUAUUGUGUGUGUCCACUUUGGUUGAGAGGGUUGUCUCAAUAGUACCAAAGUGUGAGAGAAGGUUUUUGAGCUCAACCAUAAAGCUCUAGUUUGGUUUUAUAGAGUUUCCGGGAAAACUCUUAGGUCGAGUCUACCUUUAAAGAUUUCAGAGGUUUUUAAGAGUUCCUUGAUACUCUAAGGUACUAACUUACCCGUAAAAGUUAGAGGUUCUUAAGAGUGCCCUUGAUACUCUAAAGUGUGAGUCUACCCGUAAAAGACUGGUUCCUAAGCGAAGUAGCCUUAAAGCUUAGAGAGGUUUUUAAGAGUUCCUUGAUACUCUAAGGUACUAACUUACCCGCAAAAUUUAGAGGUUCUUAAGAGUGCCCUUGAUACUCUAAGGUGUGAGUCUACCCGUAAAAGACUGAUUCCUAAGCGAAGUAGCCUUAAAGCUUAGAGAGGUUCUUAAGAGUUUCCUUGAUACUUUAAGGUUUUGCCAUUACCUUUAGGCGAGUGAAUUCCGGCAGUUGGUCGGGACUGGACUAGCCCUUGUUUGGGUGAACCAGUAUAAAUCUCUUGUGUUGUUCUCUGUUAAUUAUAGUUUUAUCUUUUAUCUAAAAACAACACUUAAUUAAAAAGAUCCCUCUUCCAGUUAUCUGGUCAAAUACAGAGGUUGACUACUUUACGCAGAUCCCUCAUCCAGUUAUUUGGUCAACCAUCUGAGGUUAUAUUCAUUGAUUUAAAUCCUUAUAUUUGUUCAAGUAUUACUUAUCAUAUAUAUCCAGUUAUCUGGUCACUUACUUGCUUAUCAAUAUAUUCAGUUAUCUGGUCAUUUACUUGCUUAUCAAUAUAUCCAGUUAUCUGGUCAUUUACUCUACAAUACAAUUUGUGUUUACAAUAUAACUUAGUAUUCAUAUACUAUAGUUGUGUGUAAAACACUAUCAAGCAAGUUAACUCAGUAUUCAUAUACUGUAGUAAAUUUCGAAGAGUAAUAAUUACAUUAUUAUAUCAAUCAAAAUCAUAAUAUCUUUAUAUCAUUAUUGUUCAACCAUUUGUUUAUUAAGCAUUUACAGGUAAUUCCGCAAUCAACCUGUAUAAAUCGAAAAGAGGCUAUUAUCCCCCCUUAUAGCCUCGGAUCUCGAUCCAACAAAAAUUUCAGAAUAUCAUGGGUAUUUUUCCUACACCCAAAGUCGAGUUGUUUGUUUGACUUUUGAAAAAAAGUCGAACUCUUACGUUGACUUUUGAAAAAGUUGAGCUCUUAAUUUGAUUUCUGAAAAAGUCGAGCUCUUACGUAGACUUUUUGAAAAAGUCGAGUUCUCGUGAGGACUUCUGAAAAAGUCGAUUUGAAAGUCUGUUACUAUUUUGAUGCUUUGUUGAAGGUUGUUAUAGAUCUUUGAGAUCUAUAAAUAGUCCCUUCAAGGGUCCUUUCUCCUUCAUCUAUGGUUCUUCUUGUUAGUCUCUUUGCUGACUUUUAUUCAGGGAGAGAUUGAAAAGCUGGAUCGGAUUCUUAAUCUUUUGGAUCCUCGGGCUUCUGCUAUGGAUCUUCCCUCUUUGUGUCAAAUAAUAGUUGAGCGAAAGAAUGUUGCUGCCAAGAAAUCUAUUUUCGAAGAAUGGUCUGCUGGGGACCUCUCUAUUGGAGCUUUUCCUUUUGCUCCUCCUUGUGGCCAACACCAGAGGCGGCUUAGGCAUGCUAGGUCUCCGCAGAAUCAUGUUCCUACGAGGUUGCGCCGUCGUAUUAACUUUAACUAGGAACUUGUAAUCUUUUCUUUUUAUUACUUGUAAACAUAGUUUUUCAAUAAAAGAUACUAUUUUUUCCCUUCCAUUUUUCUCUUCUUCUCUCUGAAUAAAAAAUAUCGAAAAUGUCGAAUAUCUGGAAGAAGAAAGUCAUACUCUAGGUUCCACUUUGCAGAGUAAGGGACCUUACGUAUGAAUAUUGUCCUUCUGCAAAAAUGUCG